CUGCUGCUGCUGCUUGUACUGGAAUGUUUUCAUUUCAUGUUACUUCACACACUGUUGCAGAGCAGUUUCAGGAGAGGAGACUAUGUUCCCCAUUAUUUAUUUGACAUCACAUUAGGAGUUUACAUCCAAAACAUAACCAUCUAAUAAAAUAUAAUAAUGCCCGGUCGUAAAUCACGAAUGACCCCGAAUAGAACAGUCCACAUCAUCUGCACCUGGAUCAGUUUCAAUUAUUAGUUAUGUGUCCCAAAACUUGCUCCCAGAACUACUUCUUUCAGCUCCAAACCAGAGCCUCGGUCCGUGUCAUACAACUUAAUGUUCAAAAAUCCCAACUAUCCCCUCAAGCAAUGGGUGAGGUUAUUUAUUUGUGUGGUGGCAAUUUAAAUCCCUGAUGUUUUGUGCCUCUGUGUUUGUUUUUCAGUGUAAUGUUGCGGGUUUGUGGCCCAGUGAAGUGGUUAUUAUUGGAUUUUUGGACACAGAUCUGGAUUUAGGACUUAAAAAAAAAAAAAAAAUUAUAGACGGGGGAGUUUUUGACCUGACUGUAGAUCGUUUGCAGAUAAACAAACUAAACUGCUUAGUGUGUUAAAGAAAUCUAUUUCUCUAUAUAUUGUAUUUAGAUAUCUAAAUAGUGUAAUUUUGAAGUUGAAGAUUUACUUAGUGCACAAAAGUCAUUAAACUUGUUUAGUUCAAGUUUCAGUAUCAUUACACUUGAAAGUACAAAUGACUACUCAGGCCCCUCUGAGGUCAAACAACAACAACAGUGACACUUAUUUGGAUUAAAUAGCAACUAAUAAAUGCAUUUUGUUCUUUUGUUUUAUUUAUUUAACCAGGAAAAUCAAUAAGAGUCAAGCAGAAGGAGGGCCCCCCUAAAUCCAAGUUCUGCUUUGGGGCCCCAUAGAGGCUUGGUCCGGCCCUGAUACCUCAUAGUUUGGCUGAAAUCUGGAUCUUGUGGGAAACUGAACGCCCUCAGCAGAGAUGUGGCCACGAUGAUGUGAGAGUGUGUCUGAUGUCCAACCUCAGCCCAAAUAUGACCCAGCGCACUAGGUCAAACGGUUGUUUGCUCGUGAGAGUUCAGCUAAAACGACGACGACAUGCGAAGGGCUGACAGCUAUGGCGCCAGAGAGAGAGGGAGGCAGAGAGAUUGUACACAUGACAAGGCCAACCUUGGCCCUCCACUUGUUCCCUCUCAAGAUGCUGACAUCUUUGGAGAUGAUUGAUUCACCCCGUCUGGCCAGAGAGGAGUGGAGAGUGGAGCCGGAUUCUCCCCGGGGCCGCAGCCCCCUGUCGCCAUGCCAUGGCUUCACCACAGUGUCACUUUACCAGCAAAAGAAGCCCCCCCCAACCCCCUGAACCAUCUCUUGUCUCCAGCAAGCUGCUGCAAUCAGCGCAGGGCCUGAUUGGACUUGGGCAGGACAGAUUGGGAAGCCGUGAUGGCGGCACAGAAGUUGAGGGAGAAGCUAUUUAUCCCAGACGGAUCAGGAGGUGUGUGACGGAGGUGUGGACGGUUGCUGCAGGUCAGUGACGUUGGCAGGCGCCAGGCAGGCCGGCCCACAUGGCUCGGGGACUGUGGGACUACAGACAGAUGGCACCUGCAUGUGGUGGACAAAGGGCAAAGGUCAGCUGGCAGCGGCCAGUCGCUUGUGGACCCGCCUGUCGUCCUGCAGCCGAGCUCCCAGAGGUUAAUUAAACAUGAAGGGAUCUCCCAUGAGGAAACCAGGUGUCUCAAAUGGAGAAACUACAACUGUUCAACAGCAGAGGGCGCCAUUUCACAACCUAAUGGGACACAAGACUCACACACGGAAGUCUGCUUGGCACGAUUGUCAUGGAAACAACGACAAAAACAAAAGGAAUUCAGGCAUUUUUGGGAAGUGAACAUCCUAAUGGAUAUCAAAAAUCAUUAGGCCAACACAAGAG